AACUAACGCUGGCGGCGUGCCUAACACAUGCAAGUCGUACGAGAAAGCCGGCUUCGGCUGGUGAGUAAAGUGGCGCACGGGUGAGUAACGCGUGGAUAAUCUGCCCUUAAGUGUGGAAUAACGUACCGAAAGGUGCGCUAAUACCGCAUAAUGCCUGGCAACACAAGUUGUCCGGCCAAAGAAGGCCUCUGUUUAUAAGCUUUCGCUUCAGGAUGAGUCCGCGUACCAUUAGCUUGUUGGUGGGGUAAUGGCCUACCAAGGCUGCGAUGGUUAGCUGGUCUGAGAGGAUGAUCAGCCACACUGGAACUGAGACACGGUCCAGACUCCUACGGGAGGCAGCAGUGAGGAAUAUUGCGCAAUGGGGGCAACCCUGACGCAGCAACGCCGCGUGAGUGAGGAAGGUUUUCGGACUGUAAAGCUCUGUCUGGAGGGACGAAGGAAGUGACGGUACCUCCGGAGGAAGCCACGGCUAACUACGUG
rnacentral:rRNA from 1 species